GGGGAGAUGGCUCAGUGGUUAGAGCACUCACUGUCCUUACCGAGGACCUGAGUUCAGUUCCCAGUACCCACA
rnacentral:tRNA from 1 species